rnacentral:rRNA from 1 species
CUACGGGUGGCAGCAGUGGGGAAUAUUGCACAAUGGGCGCAAGCCUGAUGCAGCCAUGCCGCGUGUGUGAAGAAGGCCUUCGGGUUGUAAAGCACUUUCAGCGGGGAGGAAGGCGGUGAGGUUAAUAACCUCAUCGAUUGACGUUACCCGCAGAAGAAGGACCGGCUAACUCCGUGCCAGCAGCCGCGGUAAUACGGAGGGUGCAAGCGUUAAUCGGAAUUACUGGGCGUAAAGCGCACGCAGGCGGUCUGUCAAGUCGGAUGUGAAAUCCCCGGGCUCAACCUGGGAACUGCAUUCGAAACUGGCAGGCUAGAGUCUUGUAGAGGGGGGUAGAAUUCCAGGUGUAGCGGUGAAAUGCGUAGAGAUCUGGAGGAAUACCGGUGGCGAAGGCGGCCCCCUGGACAAAGACUGACGCUCAGGUGCGAAAGCGUGGGGAGCAAACAGGAUUAGAUACCCUUGUAGUC